GGCGCGGGCAGAGACGCAGAAGUACAGGUGGAUAUAUAUAUAGAGAGAGAGAGAGAGAGAUAGAGAGUGAGAUUGGGAGAUUGCGGGUCAUCGAGUCUUGCCUGUGACGGGACAGCGCCGUGUCAGCCAGGCCGUGGCACUGAGUGACGCUUGGGACACCUCCAGGAACAGUGACUCUGCAGCCUCCCUGGCUCCCAACAAACUGUUCCUCUCUGACUUCCCGCUGGGCUCCUUCAGAUGCUGGAACCUCACCUUCUCCAGGGUGAGCAGGACCGGUUUUCUCAAACUGACUUCGCAGGGAAGGUGCUCCUGAUGAACUUGGUGGCCUCCUCUGGACUUGCCCUAGCAGUUCCAUGUCCGUCUCACACUGAGGACCCCAGAGCUGGAUGCAGCACUGCAGGUUCCCUUGCCAUCAUGUCAGUGUCAUUUUGCAACUGCAGGAAAUGAGGUUUGCUGAGAAAGACAAAUGGGACUUGAAGCUGAGUACUAGGCUGCAUAGUGCUUCUUUGCCUCAAGCAUUUCAGAGAAGAGGCCUUCCAGGCUUUGGAAUGGCUUAGCCAUUAACAGCUGUGGCUAGUGACUUUGGAAGCAUAUCCUAGCAGUGUUAGUGCCUUGAAGAUAUUAUUGAUUUGGAUUGGAAUCAAAGUCUUUAGAUCUGUGUGUGCAAAAACGACUUGACAUCUAAGAGAGGGAGGUAUUGAAUUCUGUAUGCUUCAAGAGAGUUGAU